CUACCAUGGCUUUCACGGGUAACGGAGGAUUAGGGUUCGAUUCCGGAGAGGGAGCCUGAGAAACGGCUACCACAUCUAAGGAAGGCAGCAGGCGCGUAAAUUACCCAAUACUGAUUCAGUGAGGUAGUGACAAGAAAUAGCGGGCCGGCCAAGUGCCGGGACUGAAAUGAUUAGAAUUUAACGACCUUUACGAGGAACAAUUGGAGGGCAAGUCUGGUGCCAGCAGCCGCGGUAAUUCCAGCUCCAAUAGCGUAUAUUAAAGUUGUUGCAGUUAAAAAGCUCGUAGUUGGAUUUCUGGCAGUGUGACUCCGGCCGGCAUGACGUCGGGCCCGGAGCGCGCUACCAUCCUUCUGUCAACCUCUGCGGGAUUCAUUUUCUGCUUUGGGGCUCAGAUAUUUUACCUUGAGAAAAUUAGAGUGUUUCAGGCAGGCUUUCGCCGGAAUACAUUAGCAUGGAAUAAUGGAAAAGGACUUCAUCCACUUCUGUUGGUCUGAGUGGCUGUAGUAAUGAUUAAUAGGGAUAGUUGGGGGCAUUAGUACUUGACUGUCAGAGGUGAAAUUCUCCGAUUUGUUAAAGACUAACUUAUGCGAAAGCAUUUGCCAAGGAUGUUUUCAUUAAUCAA
rnacentral:rRNA from 1 species